GGUUAUGCUAGAAAGAGCGUAUGGUGGAUGCCUUGGCACUAAGAGCCGAUGAAAGACGUGAUAAGCUGCGAAAAGCUUCGGGGAGGAGCAAAUAUCCUACGAUCCGGAGAUAUCUGAAUGGGGAAACCCGGCGGAGCAACCCUCCGUCAUCUUAACGCGAAUCCAUAACGUUAAGAAGGGAACCCGGUGAACUGAAACAUCUAAGUAGCCGGAGGAAGAGAAAGAAACAUCGAUUCUGUGAGUAGCGGCGAGCGAAAGCGGAAGAGCCCAAACCGACCUGCGUGCAGGUCGGGGUUCGGACUGC
rnacentral:rRNA from 1 species